GCAGUGAUGGUUCAGUGGUAGAAUUGUCCCUUUUCAUGUGGGAGACCCAAGUUCAAUUCCCGGUCGAUGCA
rnacentral:tRNA from 1 species